CGUAGGGGUGACCUGGCCAAGGUGGCGCUGGUGGCCCGGGUGAACGGGACCCUCCAGGACCUGGACCGGCCGCUGGAAUGCGACACCGACUUGGAGCUGCUCGACUUCUCCACGCCCGAGGGGCGGGAGGUGAGCCCGGGGGGGGGACUGGGGAGCCGGCCCCGCGCCCCGCUGCCCUCACAGCCCCUGUCCCCGAUGUCCCCAAUGCCCCCAAUGUCCCCACUGUCCCCAGUGUCCCCCAAUGUCCCCCAAUGUCCCCCAAUGUCCCCCAAUGCCCCCAAUGCCCCCAAUGCCCCCAAUGCCCCCAAUGUCCCCAGUGUCCCCAAUGCCCCCAGUGUCCCCAAUGCCCCCAGUGUCCCCAAUGUCCCCGAUGUCCCCACUGUCCCCACUGUCCCCAGUGCCCCCAAUGUCCCCAGUGUCCCCAAUGUCCCCAAUGUCCCCCAGGCUUUCUGGCGCUCCAGCGCCUGCGUCCUGGCCGCGGUGGCGGAGCAGUUCUUCGGGGCGACGCUCUGCAGCACCCAGGCCACCGAGGACGGCUUCUUCUGCGACGUGCACAUGGGCAGCAGGGCGGUGCAGAGCGCGGAGCUGCCGGCGCUGGAGGAGGCCUGUGCCGCGUUCGCCCGUGCCCGGCACCGCUUCGAGCGCCUCGAGGCCACCCGCCAGCAGCUGGCCGAGCUGCUCCAGCACAACCCCUUCCAGCUGCAGCAGCUGCAGGAGGUGACGGCCCCGACGGCCACGGUCUACAGGUGCGGCCCCCUGCUCCAGCUGUGCCGCGGGCCCCUCCUCCGGCACACGGGGCUGAUCGGAGCCCUGCGGGUGCUCACGAGCUCGGCCGCGCUCCUGGGGGGUGCUGGGGGUCCGUCCCUGCAGCGCGUGGCCGCCGUGGCCUUCCCCAGCGCCCCGGAGCUGGAGCGGUGGCAGCGGGCCCAGGACGAGGCGGCUCAGCGGGACCACCGCCGGAUCGGGAAGGAUCAGGAGCUCUUCUUCUUCCACAAGUUCAGCCCUGGCAGCUGCUUCUUCCUGCCCCGCGGCGCCCACGUCUACAACAGCCUCGUGGAGUUCAUCCGGGUGCGACCCCCGUCGUGUCACCCAGACCCCACCCC
rnacentral:lncRNA from 1 species